GGCGUACGGGUGAGUAACACGUGGGUAAUCUACCUUUGGGUGGGGAAUAACUCAGGGAAACUUGAGCUAAUACCGCAUAAUGCAGCGGCUCGACAUCGAGACAGUUGUUAAAGCAGCAAUGCGCCUAAAGAGGAGCCUGCGCCUGAUUAGCUAGUUGGUGAGGUAACGGCUCACCAAGGCUUCGAUCAGUAGCUGGUCUGAGAGGACGGCCAGCCACAAUGGCACUGAAACACGGGCCAUACUCCUACGGGAGGCAGCAGUGGGGAAUUCUGCGCAAUGGACGAAAGUCUGACGCAGCAACGCCGCGUGAAGGAUGAAAUCUUUCGGGAUGUAAACUUCGCAAGUGUGGGAAGAAAUAAAUGACGGUACCACAAGUAAGCCCCGGCUAACUCCGUGCCAGCAGCCGCGGUAAUACGGGGGGGGCAAGCGUUGUUCGGAAUUACUGGGCGUAAAGGGCGCGUAGGCGGCUCUUCAAGUCAGCCGUG
rnacentral:rRNA from 1 species